GACAGAUGCUUUAAUCUUUAUUCAUUAUUUGUAUUUUCUUGUAUUUUAAUUUAAUUUAUUUUUACAUUUCUUAAAUGUAUUUUCUUACAAUUGUCCAGUUACAUAUGUUUCAGGAUGGAAUUUUUUCAUUUCUGAAAAAAUUCCAUCUUCGCCCCUGGACUGUACAAGACAUUUCAUAUUCUCACAUGGCGACAGGAAAGACUAGUAAUUAUUAGAACUUGGUAUUUCAAUUGCCCUACUCUUGGUACCAUCAAACUGUCUUUCCUGCCGUCCAGUCUUUAAAGAUGGGUAGUUUGCUAACUCCUCCUCCUUCCAUAUGCUUUACGCGAGCGAAAACGGCGACGAGGAGCCAGGCAGCCCGGCCGUCAGGCAGACUCAGAGAGCGACUCAUAGAGAGAGACACAGAGAGAAGAGAGCAGAGACCUCACUCACCUGGGAAGGUUCCUACAAUUUUGAUUCGUCCGGACAUGCCUGUCUUAGGCUAAAGGCUUUUAUUGGGAUCCCUGGUCUACGUCACCCUCUUGAGAAAAUUCUGCCGAAAUCCAUCUGCAACGCCUUUGUGCAUGGUUCGACAAUGGUGAGUACCAAGAAUAUAUAGGGCUUAUUUUUAAGGUUAUCAUUGCGAACUCUCAUUGCCUUGUGUUGCCUAUUCAAGUUUUCCUGUCUGUCAUUUUUUCUUAUGAAGAUUUGUUAUAGUUUUUUGUGGUCAAUAUGUUUUAUACAUCGUAUUCUCUUGUCCUUUCAGGUGAUUUAGCUCUCGGACUAGUAACUCUAGCUUAUUCAUAAAUUCACCUUGUUAACACUUGGGAUGGUGUUUGGUUUCGGUGUAUCGGCCCUUUUAUUUCCUUCCUGAUACUAAUGUAAAACCUCAGUUGCUCAAUUGUAAGACAGCGAGCGAAGCAGAACGAAGGAAACGCCCUACGAUCUACGUGAAUUGCCUUGUUCUCCUACCAGUUGUUUAUAACUACGGUACUACGUCAUUUUA